UACGUAGGGCGCAAGCGUUAUCCGGAAUUAUUGGGCGUAAAGAGCUCGUAGGCGGUUUGUCGCGUCGGGAGUGAAAACCCAGGGCUUAACCCUGGGCUGGCUUUCGAUACGGGCAGACUAGAGGUAUGCAGGGGAGAACGGAAUUCCUGGUGUAGCGGUGAAAUGCGCAGAUAUCAGGAGGAACACCGGUGGCGAAGGCGGUUCUCUGGGCAUUACCUGACGCUGAGGAGCGAAAGUGUGGGGAGCGAACAGG
rnacentral:rRNA from 1 species